rnacentral:lncRNA from 10 species
CCCAGGGGAGAACAGGAGGAUUGCCUCCCGUAAGCUGAACUGGAAUUGGCAGCAGCUCUUCUGCUCCACCCUCCCCCCAGCCAAGCUACAAGGCUGUGAAAAUCACUCAGUAUUGCUUUUGGAGCAGCUCUCUGCAAGUCUGGACUCUGUCUCAGAAUGAGAGGCCCUCCACACAGAAGUUCUACAUGCAGCAGUUUACUCCAGGACACAGUUCUUCUAAUGAGUGACAGCAUCACUGAACACCAGAAGCAUCAAGGAACAUCUGCUCCCCCGCACCCGUGGCUCAUCUCAGGAUGUUGUCAGGCAGAGUCAGACACACUACAGUGGGAAGAUCAGACUGGGAGAGUUGAGCUCCAAAACAGAACUGCACCUUAAAGAGGGGGCAUCUCAGAGCACCCUGACUCCUGCCAGCUCAAGGACAGAGCCAAGUCUGGCAGUGAAACCCUUUUUUCAGAGAAUUUGGCAAAUUUCUUCCAGUCCAAACAAAUGGCCCCAAUUUUAGGAUGUGUAAGAUGGAAUAACAGGCCAGGUACAGUGGCUCAUGCCUGUAAUCCCAGUAGUUUGGGAGGCUGAGGAGGG